UAAAAGCUACAACGCAGUUUUGAUUCGCCAUAGAAAUAAUCUCAUCUGAUAUUGGUUUAUAUUGAAUUGUGGAGAUAUAUCGACAUGGAAUCUCAUUACUUUCAGCGAAUUAGAAAGUCUUUGUGCCUCGCAAAAACAAAGCCAUGUAUUUGAACCAGUAGAGAAAGAGAGAAAAGCUUAAUCUAUGGAGGUCUCUAUCGUAGUUUAUUAUCUUAUUUCGUUGGAUAGUAACCACGUCAAUACGUAUAGAAAAUCCAUAUAAUUUUCUAUAUGUACACUCACUAUAUUAUAUAUAAUAACAAGGAUGACAGAUAGCAGGACAUAUGAAACAACAGUUUGGAUUUAAAUAUAUUCCUCUACGUUGUGUGGAUUCAGAUCCUAUCAAAGACUCAGAUGGAUGUAAACUCAAGUUGAUCACUGUGGAAUUUUAAUUUAGAAUGCAGAAAAAUGUAAUCAAAUACUACAGGCAUUAGUAUUUAAUUAAUGCUCUACUGUUUCUUCAUAUUCUCAAUGCCGGACUUGAACAGACUUUUGAUUAAAGACAUUCUAACCUUGA